rnacentral:rRNA from 1 species
ACGCUCGACACCUACAGGAGGCAGCAGUGGGGAAUAUUGCACAAUGGGGGAAACCAUGAUGCAGCGACGCCGUGUGAAGGAAGAAGUAUUUCGGUAUGUAAACUUCUAUCAGCAGGGAAGAAAAUGACGGUAUCUGAGUAAGAAGCACCGGCUAAAUACGUGCAGCAGCCGCGGUAAUCUGAGCGGGCUGGCAAGGC